CGGGCUGUGGCGGAACUGGUAGACGCGCGAGAAUGAGAGUCUCGUGAGGAGAAAUCCUCGUAAGGGUUCGAGUCCCUUCAGCCCGA
rnacentral:tRNA from 1 species